GUGUAAAAUCCUUGUUUUCGCGGUUUAGCUAAACAGUAAACGUAAACCGAUGUUUUAAUUUUGGGGUUUCGAAAUCAAGAGGUCGACCAAACCGAUGAUAUGUCAUCUUAAAGCUAAGAGACUAUUAAUAGUGUCUUAAAAACACUAAAUCCUCGUUUGUAUAUCCAUUGGCUCGCAUACGGCAAAAUCAUACACAAUAACCUGCGUGCUUCUAUUGAGACUCUGAAUAAUCAUGUUCUUUGUCAGAUGUGCCCACUAAAACAAUUAAGUGUGAUGGUGUUGAUUUGGUCGACCUUCUGAUUUUCGAAGUCCCAAAAUCUAAACUCAUGUUUAUGUUUAAUGUUUAGUAGCCACGAGGACAAGGGUUCUACAC
rnacentral:pre_miRNA from 1 species